UUGGUAACAUGAAAAGCUGACAAGAAAUGAACUUGUUUAUUUUCAUUUUGUAGUUAAUCAUUAUCAUCAACAGGCAUCAUUUGUGAAGGCGAGUUAGAACUCACAUUAUGAUGGAAGAACCACAGCUAAAAAAGACUUCUGGGCGCAGGAAGGAGAAGUUGAGGCCUCCAUCCCACCAGACCAUCCCCUGCCCCGUGUCUGAUGGCAGUGAUGAAGUGAUGAUAGCUGUACCAGUGAAUGUACAAGAUGCACAGGAUAGGCAUGACAGGGAUGACUCCAAGUUGAGCUCAGAGAGCAUCACCUACUAUACUCGCCUCUUUCUAAAAGUGGGACUGUGGAUUAUCUAUGUUUGGAUCUGGUCUCACUUCCACCUGAGCACAUGUUGUCUCCUGCCACUGGCCUACUGGUUGUAUUCAGGGCCAAUGAAGAAUGUUGCGAGCUGGGCUAGGAGUCUACGGGCUCCAGCUGCAUAAAAUUGUCUC